GACGAACGCUGGCGGCGUGCUUAACACAUGCAAGUCGAACGGAAAGGCCCUGCUUGUAUGGUACUCGAGUGUCGAACGGGUGAGUAACACGUGGGUGAUCUGCCCUGUACUUCGGGAUAAGCCUGGGAAAAUGGGUCUAAUACCGGGGAGGAGCCAUUUUUCGUGUGAUGGUUGGAUAGUUUUUUUGGUGUAGGAUGAGCUCGCGGCCUAACAGCUUGUUGGUGGGGUAAGGGCCUACCAAGGCGGCCAUGGGUGGGCGGGCUGAGUGGGUGGACGGCCAAAUUUGGGCUGAAAAACGGCCCAGAGCCCUACGGGAGGCAACAGUUGGGAAUUAUGCCCAAAGGGCGCUAGCCUGAUGCAACUAAGGCGGCUUGGGGAUUGCGGCCUUUUGGUUGUAAACUCGUUUCGGCAGGUGCCGAGCCUUGUGUGACGGUACCUAGAUAAGAAGCACCGGCUAACUACGUG
rnacentral:rRNA from 1 species